ensembl:lncRNA
AUGAUGAGGUGCUACAAUAUCUCAUAUGCCACUACACUCCUGCUCCUCCUUGUGUUUUCAUCCUUUAUACAUUUAUCUGCUCCCAACCCUGUUGGAACACUCAGACCUAAAGAUGAUCCCAAUGGACCAACAGCAUCUGAAAACAGAGAAAACUCGGAUGACAAAAUGCCACUGAUACAAAGAGAGGGCGCACAGGAAGAGGAAGAGCUUUUUAAAGAUGUCGAUCCAAAGAAAUUAGCAGCAGUUUUAUUGGAGGCAUUGAAUCAAUCCCACGUCCAAACCAGAUGGAAGAAUGAUAAUUUCGAAAACGAAGAAGAAGAAGAAAGAAAAGCUAGUACAGGUGAUGUGCACAGUAAGACCCCAUAUAGUAAAGUGGGCUCAUUGGGGCGCUCCGAUCGCGAUCGAGGUGGAAGGGAAGAGCUAGAGCUAUUGAUGGCUGCAAAUGGGAAAGCGCAGGAAAAAGCAGAGGAAGAGGAGAAAGCCAAAGCUCAGGAAGAAGAGGACAAGAUGACUGAGAAGGUUACGAGUCGCACCACAAGUCAGACUGUCCAGAUUCAAAGAGAUCCACCAUCCAGCAGUUCAGAUGGAGGAGAAGGAAAUGGGCAAGCUUCUGUCCCUCAGGAAUCAACCAGACCAGGUCAUGGAAGUCAUGAAGAAGAGGAAGAGCAGCUCAAUCCCGAGGAACUCAAGAGUCUUGAGAGAAUGAUGAAAGAGUUUCCCCCUCUGAACACUGCUGUCAAGCGAGAGGGAGGCUCAGAGCCCAAUCAGAGAGAAAGCAGAGGUUACACAAGCUACAACGAAGUGUUACCAGCCCAGAAAAGCGGCGACCUCGCCAUGUCCAAGAAGAUGCUGAAAUGGCGGGAGGAAACACAGAAAGCUGUUUACUUUCCAACAUUCAAAGAAGGAAAUUUCAUGGAUGACUUUGAGGACAGCAAUGAUGGCAGCAAUGCAGCACAGCCCCAGCUUCCAGCAGAGCAGAAGGUCAUGGAUGAGGAAGAGGAGGAAGAGGAGGAGCUAAGUCUAGAAGAGGAAGAGGCUCGGGCUAAAGCAGAGCAGGAGGAAAUGAGGAGGCAGGCAGCAGAGGUGCAGAAAGCCAAGAUGGAGGAGGAGAAGUUGGCAGAUAUUGCCUCUGAUAUGCUACUGCGCUACAUGGUCAAACAGAACAACGGUAAUCAGAAGAACAGCUUGUCUGUGUCCAAUGCCAUGGAGGACAAAAGGUCUGAGGAGGAGCAGGUGACGGAGGAAGAUGACAUCGAUCCCCAGACCAUUGACAAGCUAAUUGAGAUCUCCAGCAAGCUCCACCUCCCUGCUGACGAUGUGGUGGACAUAAUCAGUGACGUGGAGAAGAAGAAAAGAAAAGACAUGCCACUUGACACAUCACGUUGGCAACGACCUCAGUCACUUCAGUCCUCUUCUUCCUCAGCAUCACAGCUUUCAGCCAAUCAUUACAACUUCCCUGUUGCCAAGCAACCAUUUCGAGGCGUCAAUCUCCUGAAAUCUUGGCUCCAGGAGAAAACACCAGGUCAAGCAGAAGACUUUUGGAGAAAACAGGAUGCACCUUUGGCGGGGAGUGUGUGGGCCAAAGAUCAACCUCUGUCCAUCAAAUCUCAAAAGUCUUUUUGGUCGGGUUACCCAAACUACCUGUACACCUUCCCCCCCCACUACCAGAGGAAGCCCUACCCCUACUACCCAGUCUUCUAUCCCCCUCCAAUGAAACCCAGGUAUUACAUUUCCAAGCCUGCUCUCGGAGACGGCUCCUUCCUGUGGAACACUUUACCUCCAAAAAGACACUACCAAAGCUGGAUCCAACCACGAUUGAGAAAACCUCCCACCUAUUCCAUCCCAUACCCUCUAACGUUCCAGUCAGUACCCAUCAGCAAGCCUUUGACCCUCCCUCGCAGGCCUGUGUUUCUCUCUAAACCAAAGGAUGCGUAUGAUCCUGCCUCAGUUCCUCCACUGACAGAAACCAGAGAGAGAAGCAACCUGGAAAGAUUAGUGCAGCAGAUCCUUAUGAGGAGACCACAGGUGCUGGACUGA